rnacentral:rRNA from 1 species
UACGUAGGCAGCGAGCGUUGUUCGGAAUUACUGGGCGUAAAGGGCGCGUAGGCGGUCAGCACAAGUCAGUUGUGAAAUCUCCGGGCUUAACUCGGAAAGGUCAACUGAUACUGUGCGACUAGAGUGCGGAAGGGGCAACUGGAAUUCUUGGUGUAGCGGUGAAAUGCGUAGAUAUCAAGAGGAACACCUGCGGCGAAGGCGGGUUGCUGGGCCGACACUGACGCUGAGGCGCGAAAGCCAGGGGAGCGAACGGG